CCGCACGAAUGGCGUAACGACUUGGGCGCUGUCUCAACGAGAGAUCCGGUGAAAUUUUAAUACCUGUGAAGAUGCAGGUUACCCGCGACAAGACGGAAAGACCCCAUGGAGCUUUACUGCAGCUUGAUAUUGGACUUUGGUACGGUCUGUACAGGAUAGGUGGGAGCCUUAGAAGCCGGAGCGCCAGCUUCGGUGGAGGCGCCGUUGGGAUACCACCCUGAUCGUAUCGGAGUUCUAACCUGGGACCGUGAAGCCGGUUCGGGGACAGUGUCAGGCGGGCAGUUUGACUGGGGCGGUCGCCUCCUAAAGAGUAACGGAGGCGCCCCAAGGUUCCCUCAGAAUGGUUGGAAAUCAUUCGAAGAGUGCAAAGGCAGAAGGGAGCUUGACUGCGAGACCUACAAGUCGAGCAGGGACGAAAGUCGGGCUUAGUGAUCCGGUGGUACCGCAUGGAAGGGCCAUCGCUCAACGGAUAAAAGCUACCCUGGGGAUAACAGGCUUAUCUCCCCCAAGAGUCC
rnacentral:rRNA from 1 species